UACGGAGGGGGCUAGCGUUGUUCGGAAUUACUGGGCGUAAAGCGCACGUAGGCGGGCUGUUAAGUCGGGGGUGAAAUCCCGGGGCUCAACCCCGGAAUGGCCUUCGAUACUGGCGGUCUUGAGGUCUGGAGAGGUGAGUGGUAUUCCGAGUGUAGAGGUGAAAUUCGUAGAUAUUCGGAGGAACACCAGUGGCGAAGGCGGCUCACUGGCCAGAUACUGACGCUGAGGUGCGAAAGCGUGGGGAGCAAACAGG
rnacentral:rRNA from 1 species